rnacentral:rRNA from 1 species
GAUGAACGCUGGCGGCGUGCCUAAUACAUGCAAGUCGAGCGAACAGAUGAGGAGCUUGCUCCUCUGACGUUAUCGGCGGACGGGUGAGUAACACGUGGAUAACCUACCUAUAAGACUGGGAUAACUUCGGGAAACCGGAGCUACUACCGGAUAAUAUAUUGAACCGCAUGGUUCAAUAGUGAAAGACGGUUUUGCUGUCACUUAUAGAUGGAUCCGCGCCGCAUUAGCUAGUUGGUAAGGUAACGGCUUACCAAGGCAACGAUGCGUAGCCGACCUGAGAGGGUGAUCGGCCACACGGGAACUGAGACACGGUCCAGACUCUUGCGGGAGGCAGCAGUAGGGAAUCUUCCGCAAUGGGCGAAAGCCUGACGGAGCAACGCCGCGUGAGUGAUGAAGGUCUUCGGAUCGGAAAACUCUGUUAGUAGGGAAGAACAAAUGUGUAAGUAACUAUGCACGUCUUGACGGUACCUAAUCAGAAAGCCACGGCUAACUACGUG